rnacentral:rRNA from 1 species
UACGUAGGGGGCAAGCGUUGUCCGGAUUUAUUGGGCGUAAAGAGCGUGUAGGCGGCCGCACAGGUCCGUUGUGAAAACUGGAGGCUUAACCUUCAGACGUCGAUGGAAACCGUGCGGCUAGAGUCCGGAAGAGGAGAAUGGAAUUCCUGGUGUAGCGGUGAAAUGCGCAGAUAUCAGAAAGAACACCCGUGGCUAAGGCGGUUCUCUAGUACGGUACUGACGCUGAGACGCGAAAGCGUGGGGAGCGAACAGG